GGGCGGCGGGGCGAUGUGGCGGGUGCGUGCCGCCAGGCGGGAGGGCGACGCGGCGCGUUUCGUAACCGGCGCAGGCGCGCUCCGCCGCCGGGGUGGAAAGAAGGAGAAGGAGAGGGAAGGAGGGGAAAGGCUGAAAAAAAAUAAAAAUAAAGAAUUAAAAAAAAAACACCUCAGAGUUACGUCAGGAAAAGACGCCGCUGGACCUGUGUCACGGAUGGGGGACGUCCACGCUGGAAUCACCUGCUGAACAGGCCGUGUUCGUCAAGGUCUACACAUGUAGAAAUACGCCUUUCCGUGCGGCUGCUGUCAAUACUCGUAAUUUGCCAGUUUCUCCAGGGAAAGUGCAGCUGUUUGAACAGAGCCUGUGUACUGGCUUGUGUAAUGCUGGUACCAGAGAGCGAUUAAUCUCUGUAGCCCUUACCUUAAGCAGAUGAUUUGAGAGAAUUUUGAAGAUAAUUCUCAAAGGUUUUGUGGUUUCAAGAGACACGAGACUCAAUCUGGCUGCAUUUCAUAUUUGAGUCUAGUUGACAUUAUUAACAUCGCGUAGAUGCUUCAAUUCCCUUAAGUCAGAUUUUUCCUGAUUGCAGUGAAACGUAGGCAAGGAAUUCACGUGCUAGAGCUAGUUGGGGUUUGAGUUGUCUCUUAAGGAGGUUAACUUUGUCAAAUGUGUUCAUUCACAAUUGUUUGAAUACUUUCUCAUUCUUUAAGAAUAGCAUGGUUAUGAUUUUUUUUUUAAAAACAUUUCUAAUUUUAAAUGCUUUGAUGGAGCAUUCUCCCUCUAUAUAUGUGUGGCUGCAGCUGUUAUUACCAGAUGCACGUUUGAUCAGUGUAAGGUUUGCUUUCCAUUCAGAGUAUCCAGUAGCUGCUCGGAUUAACUGUUGGUCACUCUUGCCAGCGAGAUUAAUCACUGGAAUUUUGUUAAAACACAAUCCCCUGCAAAACAUGAACAUAAAGCAAACUAUAUAAGAAGGAUGAAUGAUUAUAUAUGGACCUGGUGAGAAAGCAUGUAUAUGAAAACUUAAACACUUGCUUUGAUUGUAUGUGUAUGUAUAAGAAGCUACUCUUUUAUGAUGUAAAUGUAUUUUACAACAGGACCAAAUUGUGUAUGCUGUACAGUUUGCUUUUGUAAUGUUAACAUUUGUUUCAUUUAAAAUAUAACAAUAUUUGGAAGGAGA